rnacentral:rRNA from 1 species
UACGUAGGUGGCGAGCGUUGUCCGGAUUUACUGGGCGUAAAGAGCGCGCAGGCGGUCGUUCAAGUCGCGUGUGAAAGCCCCGGCUCAACUGGGAGGGUCACGCGAUACUGAUCGACUCGAAGGCAGGAGAGGGAAGUGGAAUUCCCGGUGUAGUGGUGAAAUGCGUAGAUAUCGGGAGGAACACCAGUGGCGAAGGCGACUUCCUGGCCUGUUCUUGACGCUGAGGCGCGAAAGCUAGGGUAGCAAACGGG